UCCGCCCUCAGCCCUGCCCAGCUCGAGGAGGCAGGCAGGAGGCAGCGUUUCUCUAAUAGGCUUUGAGAAAUUCCUCCAAGUUGGCCCCACUCAGGGGGCCAGAGAAAUCCAGGUGUCCCUGCCCUGUGUGCAAAGCGCAGGGGGUGCCCGAGGGCAAAGCCAGGCGCUCCGGAUGGGGCGGGUGAGCGGCUAGGUUCAGCAGGUGGACGUUGCCCUCCUAGAGGCGGGCACCAUGACCCUGCUGGUCUGCCAUCCCCAUCCAACCCCAGAGAGGCCUGAGUCUGGAGUCCACAGGUCCAGGGGUCCCCAGCGGCAGUCUGCGCCUCCCAUACCUGGCCACUAAAUGUCACCAUAGGAAUGUCCCAGAACCCUCAGACCACCGGCCAGGCCUCAGUUGAUGGGGACACAGAGGCAUCAGGGGGUACAGAGAGCUCAUCUACAGACCACCCCCCACUCUGUGGUCCAGGGCAGGCCUGAGACAGGCUAGGAUGCUCCCUACUCUGAUUUGAGCGAAUGAUCUUGCGGCAGCUGGGGAAGAUGAGGGCAGGCAAGGACUUUCCUCUCGAAGCCUAUGAAGCUGGUGGACCACUGGGGAGACAGGAGGAAGGGCAACCUGACCGGAAAGCCCCGGAGGGAAAGGGGAGGAGAGAAAGGGGGAAGAGAGGUGGGAGCACGAAAGGGAGAGGAAGAGACACCGGGGCCCAGAGGGGAAGAGGCAAAGGAGGCAACGAGAGGCAGAGAGACAGAGGGAGGAGGAAGGACAGUGGGAUGUGGAAUCAGCCGAAGCAGAAGUGAAAGGAACAGAUCCCCAAACAGUGAUAGGGAGACACUGGGGACUGAGAAGGAGAGACAGAGACAGCACAAAGCGCGAAAGACCACUGGAAAGAGGGGACACAGGACUGGACCCAGAGGUGAGAAUCCAGAAGAGCAAGAGGAGAGAGCAGAGGGGAAAGGGGAGGGACCGGACACUGCCUGGGGCAGGGGGAGGGAAGAGGCAGCUCUAAAGACCAUGCCCGCCCCCCACCCCGCCCCAUAGUCCAGCCUUGCGCCAAAGCCAGAGGCCCAGCGGCAGCCAGUGAACUGAGCAGGAACCUGGACUCCUGGGCCGGAGGCUGGUCAGGAACCCCAGGCCCAGGCCACCAGGCUGCUGCAGUGCGUCUGCGGGGAAGAGGAGCCAGGCAGGGCCCUGGGGGCAAAGCUGCCCCAGGAGGGAGGGGCCUCCCUGGUCCUCUCCUCCGGUCUCCUGCCAGCCUCAUCACAGCCCUACUGGAGAAGGCGGGCUUCUCCCCAUUUCACAGAUGUGCCUUAUUCCUGACGUGCCUGCAAGACCCACAUUCCAGUCAGAGCUGGCUGUUCCCAGGACCAUCUGGACCCAGUUGCCACCGGAUCCAGUGGGAGAACCUCAGCUGUGUCCAGAGGUUCAGGUCUGAAGGAAGAGAACUCUCAUGCUGGCAGCAGGCUGGGAACACGUGAGAGGUCCUCCUCCAAGCCCUCUGCAUCUGGGAGCCAGAACGCCAGAAAGUGGCCAUUUUUUGAGUCAGCGUAGGAAGAAGGAGCCUCCAGGCCUGGAGCAACUGCCUGCCUGCAUCUCCCGCUCAUCUCCACCCUCCUGGAUCUCUGUUUCCCAUCCUGGCUGGUGCAGAGGCAGAGGCCUGGGCCCUGCCUGCUCAUGGAGCGCCAGUGUGGGCGGGAGCUGAGGAUGAGUGAGGAGCUCGGACAGUUAGGCCUCUGAAUGUGACGAUGGACACGACCCCAGCAGGACAGGGGAGAGAGACUUGGUCAGCCUUCCGCCUAAAGCCUUAGGAAGUCCCGGCCCCAGGCCAAGGUCCUUCGCUCAUAAACAGGUGUGUUCCUGUGAAAGGCCAGCCCGAGAGGUCACCUUGGCCUAAAGGGAGGUCGGGGAGAGCACAGUGGGGUCACCUGGGGUCUGGGCUCCCAGCCUGCCUUACUCACGCCUUCCCAGGGUGAGCCGGGAUACACCCUCUCUUCCCAGCCUCCAUUGUGAUGGUGCAGGACCCUGACGACUUCCCAGAAAAGGAAAUGGAAAAUCUGUAGAUAAAUAAAGCCAAGGUGUGUCUGCGUUGGCAGGGAAGAAAGAAAAAAGCGCUUGGCAUUUUCUGUGGUUGCCAAAGCUGUCAGGGCUGGGGGGGGCAAUAGGAAGUGGGGUUCGCAGGGGAUGGUGGGGCUGGACGGCUGCUCCCACUGGGACUAGCCAGGGUCAAACGGGGGCUCUGACCCAUCCUUCUCUCCAUGUUGCUCGAGGGGAGAAGUCUGAAGCAUGAGUGGAAGGAAAGGCUGGGCUCCCACACAAUCGCUUAUGGGUAUAGAACGCAGGACACCUGCAGAUGUUUCUAGAGCCCCUAAAGUCUCAGGCCUGGGCUGGUGACUGGGAGGAAGCGAGGGAAGAUAGAAGGGGUUUCAGGGAGCCUCACCAUCUGCUCUGCUUGAUCUUCCAGGAGGCAGGAGAGAGCAAAGAGAAAGGCUUGGCACCUGCCAUCUGUCAGCCUAGGGCCUGGCGAUGCCUUGAUGUUCUGAGACUCCCAUUUCCUUAUGUGGACGUGGGAGGUUUGAGGAGACACCCACCAGAUGCCGCCCACGGUGGCUGCUGCUGGAGCCCUCGGGGCUCUGGAGUGGUCACUGUGGGGUAUGUGGGCCCCACUUCCAGGGGCCCCUUCAUCCCAUAGCCUCAUUUCACAGAUGGGGGACCAAAGCCCAGAGCAGGGAGAGAGGGCCUUAAGGGUACAACCAGAGAAGAAGACGUUUCUCUAUCUAACGCUGGAGCAGCUGCGCAGCCGGUAAGAGCUGGGCAAAGGAGAGGACGCUCUGCC